GUUGAAGCACCGGUUCCCAUACGGUCACCGAAGUUAAGCAUCGUUGAGCCUGAUCAUUACCUAGAGGAGUGACUGCUUGGGAAUACCAGGUACU